GAUGAAGAACGUAGCGAAAUGCGAUACGUAAUGUGAAUUGCAGAAUUCAGUGAAUCAUUGAGUCUUUGAACGCACAUUGCGCCCCCUGGUAUUCCGGGGGGCAUGCCUGUCCGAGCGUCAUUGCUGCCCUCAAGCACGGCUUGUGUGUUGGGCCUCCGUCCUCCUCCCGGGGGACGGGCCCGAAAGGCAGCGGCGGCACCGCGUCCGGUCCUCGAGCGUAUGGGGCUUCGUCACCCGCUCUUGUAGGCCCGGCCGGCGCUUGCCGACACAUCAAUCUUUUUUCCAGGUUGACCUCGGAUCAGGUAGGGAUACCCGCUGAACUUAAGCAUAUCAAUAAGCGGAGGA
rnacentral:misc_RNA from 1 species